GGGGGCGACCCGGUUUCGACGUGGGUAGCAAAACCUAAGGGGCAUGCCGAGUAGGUAGCUUAAUCUCGUAAAUCUUAGCUGCAGGCAUAUAAUUGCCAACGAAGAUAAAUACUACGCUGUCGCUGCUUAAUAACCAGUGAUUGCCUCCUUACCUGUUGUGCUUGUACGAUAGGGUCUGCGUAAGUAGACAUUAAGGAGUCAUUUUUUACAAGCCUCGCAAUCUAUAGGCUCUGGAUAGAUUGUUAAAUAAAAGAGAUCGCUGUGUAUUUUCCUUGCCCAUCGGGCCGUACACAGUUAAAUAAACGAUUGGGAUAAGCAUGUAGAACCAAGGGCAGAGUGCUUGCGGACGCGGGUUCAAUUCCCGCCGCCUCCACCA
rnacentral:tmRNA from 1 species